rnacentral:rRNA from 1 species
AGUGGCGGACGGGUGAGUAACACGUAAGAAUUUGCCUUUAGGAGGGGGAUAACAACUGGAAACGGUUGCUAAUACCCCAUAUGCUUUCGAGUGAAAUGGAUUUCCGCCUAAAGAGAAGCUUGCGGCUGAUUAGCUUGUUGGUGAGGUAAUGGCUCACCAAGGCGACGAUCAGUAUCUGGUUUGAGAGGACGAUCAGACACACUGGAACUGAGACACGGUCCAGACUCCUACGGGAGGCAGCAGUGGGGAAUUUUCCGCAAUGGGCGAAAGCCUGACGGAGCAAUACCGCGUGAGGGAUGAAGGCCUAUGGGUUGUAAACCUCUUUUUUCAGGGAGGAACAAAAUGACGUGUACCUGAAGAAUAAGCAUCGGCUAACUCCGUGCCAGCAGCCGCGGUAAGACGGGGGAUGCAAGUGUUAUCCGGAAUCACUGGGCGUAAAGCGUCUGUAGGUGGUUAAGUAAGUCAACUGUUAAAUCUUGAGGCUUAACCUCAAAAUCGCAGUCGAAACUGCUUGACUAGAGUAUAGUAGGGGUAAAGGGAAUUUCCAGUGGAGCGGUGAAAUGCGUAGAUAUUGGAAAGAACACCGAUGGCGAAGGCACUUUACUGGGCUAUUACUAACACUGAGAGACGAAAGCUAGGGCAGCAAAUGGGAUUAGAUACCCCAGUAGUCCUAGCUGUAAACAAUGGAUACUAGAUGUUG